ACCUGCGGAAGGACAUUC
rnacentral:rRNA from 1 species